GAGGGAUUCGAACCCUCGGUAAACAAAAGCCUACAUAGCAUUUCCAAU
rnacentral:tRNA from 1 species